AUUGAACGCUGGUGGCAGGCCUAACACAUGCAAGUCGAACGAGGGGCGGACGGGUGAGUAAGGUAUGGGAAACGGCCUGAUGGAGGGGGAUAACUACUGGAAACGGUAGCUAAUACCGCAUACCAUCGAUGGUGCCCAGAUGGGAUUAGCUGGUUGGUGGGGUACCGGCUCACCACGGCGACAACCCCUAGCUGGUCUGCGAGGAUGACCAGCCACACUGGAACUGAGACACGUUCCUGACGCCUCCGACAGGCAGCAGUGGGGACUAUUGCACCAUGGGCGCAAGUCUGAAGCAGCCAUGCCGAGGGUAUGCCGAAGGCCUUCGGGUCGUAAAGUACGUUCAGCGGGGAGGCGUUACCCGCCGAAGAAGCACCGGAUAAUUCCGGGCCAGCAGCCGCGGUAAUUC
rnacentral:rRNA from 1 species